rnacentral:rRNA from 1 species
CCUACGGGUGGCAGCAGUGGGGAAUAUUGGACAAUGGGCGAAAGCCUGAUCCAGCCAUGCCGCGUGUGUGAAGAAGGCCUUCGGGUUGUAAAGCACUUUCAGUGGGGAAGAAAGCCUUGGGGCUAAUACCCUCGAGGAAGGACAUCACCCACAGAAGAAGCACCGGCUAACUCCGUGCCAGCAGCCGCGGUAAUACGGAGGGUGCGAGCGUUAAUCGGAAUUACUGGGCGUAAAGCGCGCGUAGGCGGUCUGAUAAGCCGGUUGUGAAAGCCCCGGGCUCAACCUGGGAACGGCAUCCGGAACUGUCAGGCUAGAGUGCAGGAGAGGAAGGUAGAAUUCCCGGUGUAGCGGUGAAAUGCGUAGAGAUCGGGAGGAAUACCAGUGGCGAAGGCGGCCUUCUGGACUGACACUGACGCUGAGGUGCGAAAGCGUGGGUAGCAAACAGUAUUAGAUACCCCUGUAGUC